GAUGAACGCUGGCGGCGUGCCUAAUACAUGCAAGUCGAGCGAACAGACGAGGAGCUUGCUCCUCUGACGUUAGCGGCGGACGGGUGAGUAACACGUGGAUAACCUACCUAUAAGACUGGGAUAACUUCGGGAAACCGGAGCUAAUACCGGAUAAUAUAUUGAACCGCAUGGUUCAAUAGUGAAAGACGGUUUUGCUGUCACUUAUAGAUGGAUCCGAGCCGCAUUAGCUAGUUGGUAAGGUAACGGCUUACCAAGGCAACGAUGCGUAGCCGACCUGAGAGAGUGAUCGGCCACACUGGAACGGAGACGCGGUCCAGACUCCUACGGGAGGCAGCAGUAGGGAAUCUUCCGCAAUGGGCGGAAGCCUGACGGAGCAACGCCGCGUGAGUGAUGAAGGUCUUCGGAUCGUAAAACUCUGUUAUUAGGGAAGAACAAAUGUGUAAGUAACUAUGCAUGUCUUGACGGUACCUAAUCAGAAAGCCACGGCUAACUACGUG
rnacentral:rRNA from 1 species